CUAAAUUUUAUUAAUCUUCAUGCUACAGCCUAGGCCCAACAAACGUGCGACCUAGUAUAACCUGCAGUUUAAAGUUGCAGACAGUUCCUAGUACAAGCCUGUAGUACUCACUUGAAUUUCUACCUAUGCAUAGUCAAUGAUGUCAUCAGAUCAGCAAAUGUGCAACAUAAGCCUAAUUAUGGUUUUAAGCAUACACUAUGAAGUCGGUGACUUCAGCAGAAUGAUAGAAUUCAUGUGGUCAGAUGUUACUGUAUAGCCUGUUGUGUUUUUCUUUUUUUUUUUCUUAAUUUUAUUAAUCUUAAUGCUAUAUGCAUAAUCUAUGAUGUCAACUGACCGGCAAACGUGCAGACUAAGCCUAAUUAUAGUAUUAAGCAUCCACUUUGAAGUCGAUGACUUAAGCAGAAUAGGAUAGAAUUCAAGUGGUCAGACGUUUUUGUAUAGCCUGUUGUUUAGACUGUAUCUAAUGUGCCAAGAAUUGUGCAAAGUCCUGCUAUAGCCUAAUCUUACUUAAACUAACACUAAAAAUGUGCAAGAACUAAUAUAUACCUCACUGUACUUAAUGUUUGAAAAAAGCAUGAGGAUUGCCUUUGGGGUACCGCAUGCACGUUCUGUUACGUUUCUAUGCACUACAAAAAUAAAGAAUAAAAAAA